GAUGAACGCUGGCGGCGUGCCUAAUACAUGCAAGUCGAGCGAACAGACGAGUAGCUUGCUCCGCUGAGGUUAGCGGCGGACGGAUGGGUAACACGUGGAUAGCCUACCUCUAAGACUGGGAGAACAUCGGGGGACCGGAGCUAAUACCGGAUAAUAUAUUGAACAGCAUGGUGCAAUAGUUCAAGACGGUUUUUCGGUCAGUUAUAGAUGAAUCCGCGCCGCAUGAGCUAGUUGGUAAGGUAACGGCUUACCAAGGCAACGAUGCGUAGCCGACCUGAGAGGGUGAUCGGCCACACUGGAACUGAGAAACGGUCCAGACUCCUACGGGAGGCAGCAGUCGGGAAUCUUCCGCAAAGGGCGAAAGCCUGACGGAGCAACACCGCGUGAGUGAUGAAGGACUUCGGGUCGUAAAGCUCUGUUGUUAGGAAAGAACAAAAGCGUAAGUAACUAUGAACGUAUUGACGGUACCUAAAGAAAAAGCCACGGCUAACUACGUG
rnacentral:rRNA from 1 species